rnacentral:piRNA from 1 species
UGAUCCACAGGUAACAGAAGGAGAUGGUA